rnacentral:rRNA from 1 species
UUAAUGUUGAUAACUUGUUAGUGAUUAAUGUAGAUUUAAGAUGGGUAAGAAAAAUAAUUUUAGUUCAAACAUAAUUAGUAGAGUUUAUCGAAAGGUAAUAAAGGCUAUAGGUUAUAAGUACUGUAAAGGAAAGUAUAAAGAGUAAAAUUAAAAAUAGUAAUUUUUAGAUUUUGUACCUUGUGUAUCAGGGAAAAUUUAUAUACAUUAAAAAGUUAGAAAUCCCGAAAUAAGUAUAGUUAAUUUUAUAUGAAAGUUUUUGUAGAAAAUAAAUUUGUAAUUUAGAAUUAAAGGUGAAAUGUUAAUCGAGACUUAUAAUAUCUGGUUUUUAAAGAAAAAAUUUAAUUUUGUUUUAAAGUAGAUUGUAUUUUAAAAUUUAAUGUAGGAGGGAAGAGCUUCUUAUAAAUUGGGUUAUAAAAAAGUUUAAAAGAGUUUAGGCAUUUAAAGUAGGCUUAAGAGUAGCUGUUUUAAUAAAGUGUUUUAACUAGAAUUUUAUAAAUAUAAUAUUUGAGUAAACUUUUAGUAGUAUUUAAAAAUGAGUUAAGUUAAAAAAAAUUCAAGUAUAAUGAUUUUAUUAGUAAAAAAUUAUGUUUAAAAAAAAUAUUAAAGUGAGGAAUAAAAUUUAAGCGAUGUUAAGGAAAAUAUAAAGUAAUUCGGCAAAAAUGUUCUCCUGCCUGUUUAUCAAAAACAUGUCUGUUUGAAGGUAUAAAGANUCUGAUCUGCCCACUGAAAUUAUUUAAGGGCCGCGGUAACCUGACCGUGCAAAGGUAGCAUAAUCGUUAGUUUUUUAAUUGGAAUCUUGUAUGAAUGAUUGGACAAGGGGAAGACUGUCUCUUUAUUUAUUUUUGAAUUUAACUUUUAAGUGAAAAGGCUUAAAUGAUUUAAAAAGACGAUAAGACCCUAUAAAGCUUAAUAUGUUUAGAUUAUUUAAUCGAAUUGAUAAAUAAGGAUUGGUUAAUUGACCAUAUUUUGUUGGGGCGACAAUGGUAAAAUGUUUAUUAACUACUAAAUUUUAUGACAAAGAUUAGUGAGUAAGUAUUAAAUGAACCUGGAAUAAGAUUAAAAGAUUAAGUUACUUUAGGGAUAACAGCGUUAUUUUUUUUGAGAGUUCUUAUCGAAAAAAGAGUUUGCGACCUCGAUGUUGAAUUAAAAUGCCUA